AUGGUGUGUUGGAACGUGAGGGGACUAAAUAGCCCCACGACACGUAAAGCACUUAGGGAGUUUGUAGAUUCAAUUCAUACUGCAAUCAUGUGUAUCUUAGAGACUAAGUUGGAGGUGGUUGAUCAGUUUGUAAUAAUGCAAUGCCUUGGUCUGGCGUAUGAUGCUUUCUUUUAUCUCCCGGCCACUGACACCCGUGGAGGUAUUUUUGUUGCGUGGGAUUCCACUAAGGUGCAUUUGAUAAAUUUUGUCAAUGAUACAAACUUCAUCACGGGUUAUGUCACCCCGGUUGUAGGGCCGGCUUGGUGGCUAACGGUGGUGUAUGGGCCACAGGAGGACGCGGAGAAAAUUCUAUUUUUGGAGGAGCUUAUAGCUAGAAGACAGCUAUGUCCGGGGCCCUGGAUUGUCAUUGGCGAUUUCAACAUGAUUCUUUAUGCACAAGACAAGAGCAACGCUCGCCUUGACCGCAUUAUGAUGAGUAGAUUCAAACGCUUCAUGGAUGACAACACGCUCAAGGAGCUUUUCUUACAUGGCCGCAGAUUCACUUGGAGUAGUGAGCGUGAGGUGCCUACCCUUACCAAAAUCGACAGAGCUUUUGUUUCAAUCGACUAG
rnacentral:rRNA from 1 species